rnacentral:lncRNA from 1 species
GGGAGACAGCCCUGUCUGGCAGGCGAUUAUAAACAAAUUAGCUUCAACCUAGCAAGGGUGCCAGCAGAGGAAUACAAUAUGGGUACAGGGAGAGCCCCAGAGAGCCUGGCUUGAUGACUUUCUCAAUCCAAACAAUUGUGUUUACAGAAAAUCCUCAUCUGAAACCAGGGUCCUGGCUGACCUUUGAACGUGACCUUCAGGGGAUGGUGGACGUCAUAAUCAUCCAGGAUACAAGAAAUGCACCAUCCUCCACUGAGACACUGGCUCUGCACGGGCAUUUGCUGAGGGCUAUCAACUCCUGGACAAAUGCAGGCAUUUUUUCAGUUGACAUCUAGAAGCUCUGGUUCUCUACCUUGCCGUCUACUGUCUUAUCCAGUGGUCACCUCUAUUCAAAUCCAGAACUGGUCUGCAAAGGUGCCAGCUAUCAAGCACAUCCAUCCACAUAGAGCUCUGCAGGGCCACACUGUGCCCCACUAAGGCCGGAAGGAAUCCCGCACACUUCCGGUCCCGUGUCCUUGGCCAGGACAGCACCAUCUCCUGUCGUCACAAGGGAGAGAAGGACGAGAGAGUGCAAGGUGCAAUUUGGAGGCGUUUUAUGCAUUCUCAGUGCUGUGCAGCCAGCACCUCUCUCCAGCUCCAAAACACCUUCGUCACCCCAAAAGGAAACCUUGUAAGCAGCCACACCCAGCAACCGCUAACCCGCUUUCCGCC